rnacentral:lncRNA from 1 species
AUUGAAAGUUGAAUCAACGAUUAGCUUCAUCGAAUACAAUCUACACCAUUGAAAAUAUCUACAUGUCCAAAUUUUACAAUUUUUUGACAUUAUUUGUCCAGUAAUCCUCAAAUGUUUUCAAAAUAGAUAAAUUUAAUGAUUGUUGUGAUAUGUUUGUAAGUUUAAUAAUGUAGAAUAACCCAAAUUAUAUAAAAUUUUGAUAGAAAUAUUUUGUAUUAUAUAAAACAAAAAAAGUAUCUUAGAUUCAAAAUUUAAAUCAUGUACCAUCAUUUUUUAUUAAUUUUUUAUUUUCAUAUAUCCAUUUUGAUAUCACGUCGUUCACUAGAUAAAUAAUAUAAAAAAAUCAUAAAAUUUAUUUUCUAAAUACUCAAGGAGUAUCCUAAAUCAUGUUUAACGAAGGCAAUCAUCAAUUUGGAUGUCUGAUCAUCGAAAACAAAAAUGAGCCUCGAGCUGCAGUGAUACAGAUG